GAUUACAGUGUCAAAAGGUCUGAGUCCACCUGUGCUUGCACAAGGGUGGAUGAAUGACCUUGGGGCACGCCCCGAUAUGAGCAUAAAAGUGGGAUUUUUAUCCCACGAUAUGCGAAUAGCGGAAAGGAUUGUGGGAGUGCAAAGCACGGAACAAUCCGUGUA
rnacentral:sRNA from 1 species